rnacentral:rRNA from 1 species
UACGUAGGGACCAAGCGUUGUCCGGAAUCAUUGGGCUUAAAGCGUGCGUAGGUGGCUUCAUAAGUCCGUUGUGAAAGUCAAAGGCUCAACCUUUGAAAGCCGAUGGAUACUGUGGAGCUAGAGUACGGAAGAGGCGAGUGGAAUUCCUGGUGUAGCGGUGGAAUGCGUAGAUAUCAGGAGGAACACCAAUAGCGAAGGCAGCUCGCUGGGACGUUACUGACACUAAGGCGCGAAAGCGUGGGGAGCGAACAGG